rnacentral:rRNA from 1 species
AAUCAAGCGUCUUAAGGGCAUUCGGUGGAUGCCUUGGCGCGCAGAGGCGAUGAAGGACGUGGCACGCUGCGAUAAGCCGCGGGGAGCUGUGAGCAAGCUUUGAUCCGUGGAUUUCCGAAUGGGGAAACCCAACCCGCAAGGGUUAUCGUCACCUGAAUACAUAGGGUGGCGAAGCGAACCCAGGGAACUGAAACAUCUCAGUACCUGGAGGAAAGGACAUCAACCGAGACUCCGUUAGUAGUGGCGAGCGAACGCGGACCAGGCCAAUGCCUCAAGUCUUCUAACUGGAACCGUCUGGAAAGUCGGGCCUUAGCGGGUGACAGCCCCGUACAGGUGUUGAAGGCAUGAGGAUACGAGUAGGGCGGGACACGAGAAAUCCUGUCUGAACAUGGGGGGACCACCCUCCAAGCCUAAGUACUCCUGCGCGACCGAUAGUGCACAAGUACCGUGAGGGAAAGGUGAAAAGCACCCCGACGAGGGGAGUGAAACAGUUCCUGAAACCGGAUGCCUACAAACAGUUGGAGCCCGCAAGGGUGACAGCGUACCUUUUGUAUAAUGGGUCAGCGACUUAAUCUGGCGAGCAAGCCUAAGCCGAUAGGUGUAAGCGUAGCGAAAGCGAGUCUGAACAGGGCGUUCAGUUCGUCGGAUUAGACCCGAAACCGAGUGAUCUAGCCAUGAGCAGGCUGAAGGUGAGGU